CCUACGGGUGGCAGCAGUGAGGAAUAUUGGUCAAUGGACGCAAGUCUGAACCAGCCAUGCCGCGUGCAGGAAGACGGCUCUAUGAGUUGUAAACUGCUUUUGUACGAGGGUAAACGCAGAUACGUGUAUCUGUCUGCCAGUCUCGUUCGAUUACGGCUCGGCUAACUCCGUGCCAGCGGCCGCGGUAAUACGGAGGAUCCAAGCGUUAUCCGGAUUUAUUGGGUUUAAAGGGUGCGUAGGCGGUGGGAUAAGUUAGAGGUGAAAUCCCGAGGCUCAACGUCGGAAUUGCCUUUGAUACUGUGCGGCUAGAGAGUAGUUGCGGUAGGCGGAAUGUAUGGUGUAGCGGUGAAAUGCUUAGAGAUCAUACAGAACACCGAUUGCGAAGGCAGCUUACCAAGCUACGACUGACGUUGAGGCACGAAAGCGUGGGGAGCAAACAGGAUUAGAUACCCGAGUAGUC
rnacentral:rRNA from 1 species